AUGGCCAGAAGAGCUGUGGUGCACAGUGAGCCGGUGAGGUUCAGCAAUCAAGACACCCAACAACACCGAGUGAGCUUUAACUGCGCUCCACCACUCCAUCUUGAGCUGAAACAGAGAGCUGUCUUCUCCGUUGGGGUUGGACGAUUCGCUGCAUUUGUGCCGCCGCCAUGGCCCCGCGCAGCGGCGAGUGAGGCUAAGCUCGUGCAAGGCCCAUCCAUGCCCGGCGGCGAAGACCGGAUCAGCGCUCUGCCGGACGGCGUUCUCCAGCACGUCCUUGGCUUCCUGCCGGCGCAUGACGCCGUCCAGACGAGCGUGCUCGCCGGUCGCUGGCGCCACGCGUGGAGAUCCAUCCGUCGCCUGCACCUCAGCCCCGAGGACUGGUGGGACAGAGGCAGCCCCGAACAUCUGAAGAAUUUCUUCGACGCUCUGCUAUCCCCCGGCGGCCAUGACUCGAUUCUGGAGGAGGCCCAGCUGGACUUCGAUGGAUUGGUCGAAGAUUGCGCGCACGCCGAAGUCUGGAUCCGACGAAUUUUGUCGGGCCAAGCUCAGGUGCUCGAUGUCUCCUUCGCCACACUGGAAAACCCUCCUCUGGUCUCCCGACACCUGAGAAAACUGGAGCUCACUGAAAUGAUUUUAGAAGGAGAUGUUCUUGAUUUCGCGAGCUGCCCAGCAUUGGAGGAUCUUAAGAUGGCAGAUUGCAGAUUAUAUCUUGACAAGAUCUCGUCCUAUAUAUCAAUCCCUAGUCUCCUUUGGCUGCUCCUUGAUUCUUGUAUAGUUCCUUUUCUUGGAAGCAUGCCUUCACUGGAAACAGCAUUUGUGAAGCCUGCAGCAUGCUCGAGAGAUUGCUGCAUAAGAGGUGCUUUUAAGGAAUGCUGUGGCAUUUGUGCAGAAUGUACUGGUGAUGGUGACCAUGGCAGCCGCUGCGUGCUUCUCGGAGGUCUGGCCAGUGCUAUACAUUUGGAACUGGUAGCUGAACCUGGAAUGCUUAUAUUUGGAAGGGAUUUGAGGUGGUGUCCUACAUUUAGUAACUUGAAGACAUUGUUGCUGAAUGAGUGGUGUGUGGCUAUUGACUUCCGUGCAUUACUUUGCAUUCUCGAGCAUUCACCCGUUCUUGAGAAGCUCAUUCUUCGACUAUCUAAGAGACGGGAGUUUAUUACUGUGCUGAGCUAUCCAAUGGAAAAAUUACCUGCAAUAUCCAAACAUCUUAAUAUUGUGGAAAUCAGAUGCAGAGAUGUUGAUGGGAGGGUUUGCAGGAUUUUAAAGUUGUUGAGUCGUUUUGGCAGUGCCAUGCAGAUUAGCAUCAAACUGGUUUCGCAACUAUCCACAUGCUUUAGUUUCGAGACAUGGCUUUGGCACUUUCCAGCCAAUGAUGAUGAUGAAUGCAAUAUAAUUGUGCAAGGCUAA
rnacentral:rRNA from 1 species